rnacentral:rRNA from 1 species
AACGAACGCUGGCGGCAUGCCUAACACAUGCAAGUCGAACGAGACCUUCGGGUCUAGUUGCUCACGGGUGCGUCACGCGUGGGAACCUUCCCUUAGGUUCGGAAUAACUCCCCGACAGGGGUGCUAAUACCGGAUAAUGUCUUCGGACAAAAGAUUUAUCGCCUUUGGAUGGGCCCGCGUUGGUUUAGCUAGUUGGUAGGGUAAAAGCCUACAACGGCGACGAUCCAUAGCUGGGAUGAGAGGAUGAGCAGCCACACUGGGACUGAGACACGGCCCAGACUCCUACGGGAGGCAGCAGAGGGGGAUAUAGGACAAUGGGCGAAAGGCUGAUGCAGCAAGGCUGCGUGAGUGAUGAAGGCCGUAGGGUUGUGAAGCUCGUUUACCCGGGAUGAUAAUGACAGUACCGGGAGAAUAAGCACCGGCUAACUCCGUG